rfam:Arthrobacter sp. AK-YN10 contig230, whole genome shotgun sequence.
GACACUGACACGGGGUGCCGGGCAUUGGGCCGGGCUGAGAUCCAGACCCGUUGAACCUGUCCGGUUAGCACCGGCGAAGGGAUGUCUCCAUGACUUCAA